AGUCGUAACAAGGUAUCCGUAGGUGAACCUGCGGAUGGAUCAUUACCAAAGAUCCCAUCCUACCUCUUGUGAACUGGUUUUCCACGGUUGGCGCGUUGGUGGCGGCAGCCAUUGUGCCAUUGUGCCAUCGUGCCCUGCGCCACCAAGGCGCCGGCCGUACCCCAAAACACGUAUAUCGAAGCUGAACUAAAGUAUCCGUCUAAGAAUGCUUGGACAACUUUUAGCAAUGGAUCUCUAGGCUCUU
rnacentral:misc_RNA from 1 species